rnacentral:rRNA from 1 species
UACAGAGGUCUCAAGCGUUGUUCGGAUUCAUUGGGCGUAAAGCGCGUGUAGGCGGCCCGGUAAGUCCGCUGUGAAAGUCCAGGGCUCAACCCUGGGAUGCCGGUGGAUACUGUCGGGCUCGAGUCCGGAAGAGGAAAGUGGAAUUCCUGGUGUAGCGGUGAAAUGCGCAGAUAUUAGGAAGAACACCCGUGGCGAAGGCGGCUUUCUGGGACGGUACUGACGCUGAGACGCGAAAGCGUGGGGAGCGAACAGG